AGAAACUUAGGAUAAUCAAACCAAGAGCCUUCAAAGCCCUAAAUAGAAGUUAAGACUCUUCUAGUUUCUG
rnacentral:tRNA from 1 species